UGCACUGACAUCUAGACCAUU
rnacentral:piRNA from 1 species